GUGCCAGCAGCCGCGGUAACACGGGGGGAGCAAGCGUUGUUCGGAAUUACUGGGCGUAAAGGGCGUGUAGGCGGUCGAGUGAGUGAGAUGUGAAAUGCCCCGGCUCACCCGGGGACCUGCAUCUCAUACUGCUAGGCUAGAGUACGGGAGAGGAUGAGGGAAUUCCUGGUGUAGCGGUGAAAUGCGUAGAUAUCAGGAGGAACACCGGUGGCGAAAGCGCUCAUCUGGCCCGAUACUGACGCUGAGGCGCGAAAGCUAGGGGAGCAAACGGGAUUAGAUACCCCCGUAGUCC
rnacentral:rRNA from 1 species